AACGAACGCUGGCGGCAUGCCUAACACAUGCAAGUCGAACGAAGCCUUCGGGCUUAGUGGCGCACGGGUGCGUAACGCGUGGGAAUCUGCCCUUAGGUACGGAAUAACUCAUGGAAACGUGUGCUAAUACCGUAUGAUGUCUUCGGACCAAAGAUUUAUCGCCUAGGGAUGAGCCCGCGUUGGAUUAGCUAGUUGGUGAGGUAAAGGCUCACCAAGGCGACGAUCCAUAGCUGGUCUGAGAGGAUGAUCAGCCACACUGGGACUGAGACACGGCCCAGACUCCUACGGGAGGCAGCAGUGGGGAAUAUUGGACAAUGGGCGAAAGCCUGAUCCAGCAAUGCCGCGUGAGUGAUGAAGGCCUUAGGGUUGUAAAGCUCUUUUACCAGGGAUGAUAAUGACAGUACCUGGAGAAUAAGCUCCGGCUAACUCCGUG
rnacentral:rRNA from 1 species